GCCACGUGGCCAGACCUGAGAACACCGAAGGAAGGUGAUUCAAGCAAGGCCUUGUAUAUGGAUAGAGCAAGGAUCUUCCAGAGUCUUUUAAACCUUGUGAAAGAUUUUGAUCAUUAUCUCAAUGAGAGGUCAAUGAAGGACACUAAACCAGGAGUUUCCCUGCACAAGCUCUCUGCUCUUGUCUGCUGCCAUACAAGAUGUGCCUUUCACCUUCUGCCCUGAUUGUGAGGCCUCCCAAGCCAUGUGGAACUGUAAGUCCAAUAAACCUCUUUCUUUUGUAAAUUGCCCAGUCUUGGGUAUGCUUUUAUAAGCAGCGUGAAAACAGACUAAUACAGUAAAUUGGUAAUAGUAGAGGAGGCAUUGCUGAAAAGAUACCUGAAAAUGUGGAAGUGACAUUGGAACUGGGUAGCAGGCAGAGGUUGGGACAGUUUGGAAGGCUCAGAAGAAGACAGGAAAUUAUGGGGAAGUUUGGAACUGCCUAGAGAGUUACGAGUUAUGGAAUGGCUUUGCCCAAGAUGCUGACAGUGAUAUGGACAAUAAACUCCAAGCUGAGGUUGUCUCAGAUGGAAAUGUGAGGCUUGCUGGUAACUGGAGCAAAGGUGACUCUUGUUAUAUUGUAUCAAAGAGAUUGGUGGCAUUUUGCCCCUGCCCUAGAGAGUUGUAAUAUUUUUAACUUGAGAGAGAUGAUUUAGGGUAUCAUGCAGAAGAAAUUUCUAAGCAGCAAAACAUUCAAGAUGUGACUUGGGUGCUAUUAAAGGCAUUCAGUUUUAUAAGGGAAGCAGAGCAUAAAAGUUUAUAAAAUUUGCAGCCUGACAAUGUGAUACAAAAGAAAAUCCCGUUUUCUAAGGAGAAAUUCAAGCCAACUGCAGAAAUUUGCAUAACUAACGAGAAGCUAAAUGUUAAUCCCCAAGACAGCGGUAAAGGUCUCCAGGGCAUGUCAGAGGUAUUCAUGACAGCCCCUGUCAUUACAGGCCCAAAGGCCUAAAAUAAAAAUGUGGUUUUGUGGGCCAGGCCAAGGGUCUGUGUGCUAUGUGCAGUCUAGGGACUUGGUGUUAUAUGUUUCAGCCACUCCAGCUGUGGCUGAAAGGGGCCAAGGUAGAGCUCAGGCCAUGGCUUCAGAGGGUGCAAGCCUCAAGCCUUGCCAGCUUCCACGUGGUGUUGAGCCUGCAAGUGCAUGGAAGUCAAGCAUUGAGGUUUGGGAGCCUCUGCAUAGAUUUCAGAGGAUGAAUGGAAAUGCCUGGAUGUCCAGGCAGAAGUUUGCUGCAGGGGGGUGCUCUCAUGAAGAACUUCUGCUAGGGCAGUGCAGAAGGGAAAUGUGGGGUCGGAGCCCCACACAGAGUCCCUACUGGGGCUCUGCCUAGUGGAGUUGUGAGGAGAGGGCCCCAAACUACAGAAUGUUAGAUCCACUGACAGCUUGCACUGUUUACCUGGAAAAGCUGCAGACCCUCAAUGCCAGCCCAUGAAAGCAGCUGAGAGGGAGGUAGCACCCUGCAGAGGCACAGGGGCAGAGCUGCCCAAGACCAUAGGAAACCACCUCUUGCAUCAGCAUGACAUGGAUGUGAGAUGUGGAGUCAAAGUAGAUCAUUUUGAAGCUUUAAGAUUUGACUGCCCCUCUGAAUUUUGGACCUACAUGGAAUCUGUAGCCCUUUUGUUUUGGCCAAUUUCUUCAAUUUGGAACAGCUGUAUUUACCCAAUGCCUAUAACCCCAUUGUAUCUAGCAAGUAACUAACUUGCUUUUGAUUUUACAGGCUCAUAGGUGGAAGGGAUUUGCCUUGUCUCAGAAGAGACGUUGGACUGGGGACUUUUGCAAUAAUGCUGAAAUGAGUUAAGAUUUUGGAGGACCAUUGGAAAGGCAUGAUUGGUUUUGAAAUGUCAGAACAUGAGAUUUGGGAGGGGCCAGAGGUGAAAUGAUAUGGUUUGGCUUUGUCCCUACCCAAAUGUCAUCUUGAAUUAUAACUCCCACAAUUCCCAUGUGUCAUGGGAAGAACCCGGUGGGAGGUAAUUUAAUUAUGGGGGUGGGUCUUUCUUGCACAGUUUUUGUGAUAGUGAAUGAGUCUCACGAGAUCUGAUUUUUUUUAAAAACAGGAGUUUCCCUGCACAAGCUCUCUUCUCUUGUCUGCUACCAUAUGAAACAUGCCUUUCACCUUCCGCUACAAUUGUGAGGCCUCCCCAGCCAUGUGGAGCUGUAAGUUCAAUAAACCUCCUUCUUUUGUAAA